rnacentral:rRNA from 1 species
GACGAACGCUGGCGGCGUGCCUAAUACAUGCAAGUAGAACGCUGAAGAGAGGAGCUUGCUCUUCUUGGAUGAGUUGCGAACGGGUGAGUAACGCGUAGGUAACCUGCCUUGUAGCGGGGGAUAACUAUUGGAAACGAUAGCUAAUACCGCAUAACAAUGGUUGACACAUGUCAUUUAUUUGAAAGGGGCAAUUGCUCCACUACAAGAUGGACCUGCGUUGUAUUAGCUAGUAGGUGAGGUAAUGGCUCACCUAGGCGACGAUACAUAGCCGACCUGAGAGGGUGAUCGGCCACACUGGGACUGAGACACGGCCCAGACUCCUACGGGAGGCAGCAGUAGGGAAUCUUCGGCAAUGGGGGCAACCCUGACCGAGCAACGCCGCGGGAGGGAAGAAGGGUUUCGGAUCGUAAAACUCUGUUGUAAGUCAAGAACGGGGGUGAGAGUGGAAAGUUCACACUGUGACGGUAGCUUACCAGAAAGGGACGGCUAACUACGUG